AUUGCUUCUCAGCCUUUUGGCUAAGAUCAAGUGUAGUAUCUGUUUGUAUCAGUUUAAUAUCUGAUAUGUCCUCAAUUAGAGAACUUUAUAUUAAAUGGAAUUUUGGCACUGGGAGUUGGAUCUGGAGCUUCCUUUUUUUUUUUUUUUUAAUUUAAGCCAUUAUCCAUCAUAUUUGAAAAAUCAUG